UCCAUUUGAGGCAAUGCACCCCACAGAUAUUUAUUCUCUGCACAUUAAGAAGUUUGUUAACUGGCAUCUAAUGUAAGGAGAAACUUCUCUGAUAAGGAUGGAAAGAUGUUCUGCUCUAUAGUAAGAAGUCACCGAGAGUCAUCUUAAUACUAUGUCCGUUUAGCAAAACAUAGCCUCAGGCUCUUCCCUAGGGGCUAAGAGCUAUUUGGCCACAAGUUCUUAGCCCCUUUAACAGUGCCAGAUACAGGCUCCAGCUCAGGGAGGAGGUCUUAGAUUUCAGCAGAAAGUGGUUACUUCCAUAACAUUUGUACCAUUAUUGUACCAGUAGAUAUAUCUUGUUAUACCAGUAGUUGUUAAAAGUUGCAGGGUUCACAGCUAGGUGAGAUUGGAGAUUUCCCCUUUUCCCUUCCAUUGAUAUGCUCAGAAACUUUUAACACUGGCUAAUAGGAAUGAAACUUUUAGGUGAAAAUUAGCUUGGUUUCUCCAUGUUCUGUGACUCUGCUAUGACAUCAUUAAUAGGAUCGCACUGUAAAGUUCUAGAAGGCAGUCGAGAGUACUGGUUAUAACCUGUACUGCUUGGAGUGGAGGUGUCUAUGUGACUGCAUUAGUCUGUAGCACAAGAGCAGAUGACCUACUCCUGGUUCUGAAGUUCUUCUGCCCUAGCAUGAGAUAACAUCUAGUUGGAGUAUUGUCUCUAUGUUGGAAGCUCGUGGAACACAGCUCAGAGCCCUCACAACAAAGGAAGGAUCUGUGACAAUGGGAACAAAGACAUCACACCCUCCAUUGGCUUCUAGCUGCCUUGCAUUUUGCCCCACCCAGCCACACGUCGUAAUUAGUCAUGGGUUAUUUGGCCAUUGCAGACGUUUUUCUUUAAGUGUGGGCCAACAUCCCUUUUGGUGAACCUAUCUGAGAGUUGUGGUUUCUUGAUUAAAUUUAUUUCUUUCGAA